UCGAACAUAGUCCUCUCGAACAACACCUCCCCACCCCACCCUCCACAAGUGUACUUUGUGAUGAAAUGUUGAGGGGAAUGCUGUCUGGUUCGAGACCGCUCUUUGAUUGAGUGAUUGAGUGCGUAUGUAUACAGAUUCUGUUGAGUGAUCUCGGACCAGGCUUCAUUCCCCUCAGCUUCUGGAACUGAUGACCUAUGUCCAAGAAAGGGGUGUUGGUGGAAGAAGGAUAUAUGAAAAGACUGUAAAUCAUCUGCAGCCAACUGCUUCAGUUUUGAGCUCUGGAAAUCUCUCAAGGACAUAGGAAAAAAGAAAGGAAAAAGAUAGAAAGAGCACAAGUAAUAUGUUGUGCGUUAUCAACCGGAACGAAAGCCGCCUAACUAGGUAAAAGGAGGAUUUUGGGACUUGUACGUUGCUCAAAUCUUUCGUCUUUAUUUGACGUGUUGGAUGGUAGUACAAGCUUCCGGCUAAUAAAGAACCGGCUAGAAAUUAUCUUUUUUAAUAGGAUAAAUUACAAAAGGCAUCCCCGCUCGUUGUUCAAAAAAUUACAAAUA